ACGGGAUCCGCGUCGACAGCGUCCAACAGGGCCUCGUCGACUGCUCCUUCACCAUCCGCUCCAGGCUCACCGUGAGUCGCCCCCCUCCCUGGCCGCCUGACGACGAAUCGGCCAGCCCCAUCCCGACGCCGCCUCCUCCUCCCCCCAGCCUGACGCCGCCUUGCCGCACCCCUCCCUCCCCACUUCCCACGCGCGGCCGGCGACGCCGCCUCCUACGCCGCUGCUAGAUUAUUAUUUAUUAUGUUAGUUUAUUAUAAUCUAAAGCCACAUAUUACUAUAAUCUAACGAGCUUCUCCAAAAAUGUUUUUUUCCAUUUAUUGUCAAGGACACACCCUUAGGCACUUUAAAUUAAUUACCCAUCUUACCAUGCAUUACCUACUUUAGCUUCUUAUAGUAAUCCACAUUAAUAAUCUAAAUUAUAACAAUCUAAGUUGAAAGAAACAUGACCUAAUAGUUAUAUUAGAAAGAUGUUGGGUCUAGAUUGUCCGUAUAGACGACCACUGUUUAUGUGAAUGUGAAGUGAAUAGUAAAGAAAUGAUGUGAACCGUCACGAAAUACUAUAGUAUCAGUAUAGCGCUCGAUCUAGACCACCCAUUUUUUAUCCAACGGUAAAAAAUAGCCUAAAUUCACGGUAUUGUAGCCCUCUGCAAUAGCACACGUAAAUGCUAUUGCAGAGGAUCCCAAUUCAAAGAUGCUCCCUCAAUUUUAAAAUACAAGUACAUGCGUAUAAGACUUAAGUUUUAUAAAAAAGGUUAAGUAUUGUAGUACCUAUUUACUGUACUAUUUAUCAUAUUAAUCACUUCCCUUUGAAAUACUUAUCGUG
rnacentral:lncRNA from 1 species